AGUGAACGCUGGCGGCGUGCUUAACACAUGCAAGUCGAACGAGAACGGGUUAUAGCUUGCUAUAAUUGUCAGCUAAGUGGCGCACGGGUGAGUAAUGUAUAGGUAAUAUGCCUCUUACUAAGGGAUAACAAAUGGAAACGUUUGCUAAUACCUUAUACUCCUUAUUAACAUAAGUUAAUAAGGGAAAGAUUUAUUGGUAAGAGAUUAGCCUGUAUUGUAUCAGUUAGUUGGUGGGGUAAUGGCUUACCAAGACUAUGACACAUAACUGGUUUGAGAGUAUGAUCAGUCACACUGGAACUGAGACACCGUCCAGACUCCUACGGGAGGCAGCAGUGGGGAAUAUUGCACAAUGGGCGAAAGUCUGAUGCAGCAACGCCGCGUGGAGGAUGACACAUUUCGGUGCGUAAACUCCUUUUAUAUGAGAAGAUAAUGACGGUAUUAUAUGAAUAAGCACCGGCUAACUCCGUGCCAGCCGCCGCAGUAA
rnacentral:rRNA from 1 species